CAGAGGAGCCAAGCGUUGUCCGGAUUGACUGGGCGUAAAGCGCACGCAGGCGGAUGCGCGCGUGGGGUGUGAAAUCUGGCCGCUUAACGGCCAGGCGCCAUCCCAUACGGCGCGUCUGGAGCCUUGCAGAGGUCGGUGGAAUUGCUGGUGUAGUGGUGAAAUGCGUAGAGAUCGGCAGGAACACCCAGGGGGAAACCAGCCGACUGGGCAAGUGCUGACGCUGAGGUGCGAGAGCGUGGGGAGCGAACCGGAUUAGAUACCCGGGUAGUCCACGCCGUAAACGAUGGCCACUCGGCCUUUGGGGGCGGAAUCUCUGUCCGUGGGGGCCUUAGCAAACGCGGGAAGUGGCCCGCCUGGGAACUACGAGCGCAAGCUUA
rnacentral:rRNA from 1 species